GGUUAAGCGACUAAGCGUACACGGUGGAUGCCCUGGCAGUCAGAGGCGAUGAAGGACGUGCUAAUCUGCGAUAAGCGUCGGUAAGGUGAUAUGAACCGUUAUAACCGGCGAUUUCCGAAUGGGGAAACCCAGUGUGUUUCGACACACUAUCAUUAACUGAAUCCAUAGGUUAAUGAGGCGAACCGGGGGAACUGAAACAUCUAAGUACCCCGAGGAAAAGAAAUCAACCGAGAUUCCCCCAGUAGCGGCGAGCGAACGGGGAGCAGCCCAGAGCCUGAAUCAGUGUGUGUGUUAGUGGAAGCGUCUGGAAAGGCGCGCGAUACAGGGUGACAGCCCCGUACACAAAAAUGCACAUACUGUGAGCUCGAUGAGUAGGGCGGGACACGUGGUAUCCUGUCUGAAUAUGGGGGGACCAUCCUCCAAGGCUAAAUACUCCUGACUGACCGAUAGUGAACCAGUACCGUGAGGGAAAGGCGAAAAGAACCCCGGCGAGGGGAGUGAAAAAGAACCUGAAACCGUGUACGUACAAGCAGUGGGAGCACGCUUCGGCGUGUGACUGCGUACCUUUUGUAUAAUGGGUCAGCGACUUAUAUUCUGUAGCAAGGUUAACCGAAUAGGGGAGCCGAAGGGAAACCGAGUCUUAACUGGGCGUUAAGUUGCAGGGUAUAGACCCGAAACCCGGUGAUCUAGCCAUGGGCAGGUUGAAGGUUGGGUAACACUAACUGGAGGACCGAACCGACUAAUGUUGAAAAAUUAGCGGAUGACUUGUGGCUGGGGGUGAAAGGCCAAUCAAACCGGGAGAUAGCUGGUUCUCCCCGAAAGCUAUUUAGGUAGCGCCUCGUGAAUUCAUCUCCGGGGGUAGAGCACUGUUUCGGCAAGGGGGUCAUCCCGACUUACCAACCCGAUGCAAACUGCGAAUACCGGAGAAUGUUAUCACGGGAGACACACGGCGGGUGCUAACGUCCGUCGUGAAGAGGGAAACAACCCAGACCGCCAGCUAAGGUCCCAAAGUCAUGGUUAAGUGGGAAACGAUGUGGGAAGGCCCAGACAGCCAGGAUGUUGGCUUAGAAGCAGCCAUCAUUUAAAGAAAGCGUAAUAGCUCACUGGUCGAGUCGGCCUGCGCGGAAGAUGUAACGGGGCUAAACCAUGCACCGAAGCUGCGGCAGCGACACUAUGUGUUGUUGGGUAGGGGAGCGUUCUGUAAGCCUGUGAAGGUGUACUGUGAGGUAUGCUGGAGGUAUCAGAAGUGCGAAUGCUGACAUAAGUAACGAUAAAGCGGGUGAAAAGCCCGCUCGCCGGAAGACCAAGGGUUCCUGUCCAACGUUAAUCGGGGCAGGGUGAGUCGACCCCUAAGGCGAGGCCGAAAGGCGUAGUCGAUGGGAAACAGGUUAAUAUUCCUGUACUUGGUGUUACUGCGAAGGGGGGACGGAGAAGGCUAUGUUGGCCGGGCGACGGUUGUCCCGGUUUAAGCGUGUAGGCUGGUUUUCCAGGCAAAUCCGGAAAAUCAAGGCUGAGGCGUGAUGACGAGGCACUACGGUGCUGAAGCAACAAAUGCCCUGCUUCCAGGAAAAGCCUCUAAGCAUCAGGUAACAUUAAAUCGUACCCCAAACCGACACAGGUGGUCAGGUAGAGAAUACCAAGGCGCUUGAGAGAACUCGGGUGAAGGAACUAGGCAAAAUGGUGCCGUAACUUCGGGAGAAGGCACGCUGAUAUGUAGGUGAAGUCCCUCGCGGAUGGAGCUGAAAUCAGUCGAAGAUACCAGCUGGCUGCAACUGUUUAUUAAAAACACAGCACUGUGCAAACACGAAAGUGGACGUAUACGGUGUGACGCCUGCCCGGUGCCGGAAGGUUAAUUGAUGGGGUUAGCGGUAACGCGAAGCUCUUGAUCGAAGCCCCGGUAAACGGCGGCCGUAACUAUAACGGUCCUAAGGUAGCGAAAUUCCUUGUCGGGUAAGUUCCGACCUGCACGAAUGGCGUAAUGAUGGCCAGGCUGUCUCCACCCGAGACUCAGUGAAAUUGAACUCGCUGUGAAGAUGCAGUGUACCCGCGGCAAGACGGAAAGACCCCGUGAACCUUUACUAUAGCUUGACACUGAACAUUGAGCCUUGAUGUGUAGGAUAGGUGGGAGGCUUUGAAGUGUGGACGCCAGUCUGCAUGGAGCCGACCUUGAAAUACCACCCUUUAAUGUUUGAUGUUCUAACGUUGACCCGUGAUCCGGGUUGCGGACAGUGUCUGGUGGGUAGUUUGACUGGGGCGGUCUCCUCCUAAAGAGUAACGGAGGAGCACGAAGGUUGGCUAAUCCUGGUCGGACAUCAGGAGGUUAGUGCAAUGGCAUAAGCCAGCUUGACUGCGAGCGUGACGGCGCGAGCAGGUGCGAAAGCAGGUCAUAGUGAUCCGGUGGUUCUGAAUGGAAGGGCCAUCGCUCAACGGAUAAAAGGUACUCCGGGGAUAACAGGCUGAUACCGCCCAAGAGUUCAUAUCGACGGCGGUGUUUGGCACCUCGAUGUCGGCUCAUCACAUCCUGGGGCUGAAGUAGGUCCCAAGGGUAUGGCUGUUCGCCAUUUAAAGUGGUACGCGAGCUGGGUUUAGAACGUCGUGAGACAGUUCGGUCCCUAUCUGCCGUGGGCGCUGGAGAACUGAGGGGGGCUGCUCCUAGUACGAGAGGACCGGAGUGGACGCAUCACUGGUGUUCGGGUUGUCAUGCCAAUGGCACUGCCCGGUAGCUAAAUGCGGAAGAGAUAAGUGCUGAAAGCAUCUAAGCACGAAACUUGCCCCGAGAUGAGUUCUCCCUGACUCCUUGAGAGUCCUGAAGGAACGUUGAAGACGACGACGUUGAUAGGCCGGGUGUGUAAGCGCAGCGAUGCGUUGAGCUAACCGGUACUAAUGAACCGUGAGG
rnacentral:rRNA from 1 species